rnacentral:rRNA from 1 species
UACAGAGGGGGCAAGCGUUGUUCGGAAUUACUGGGCGUAAAGAGCUUGUAGGCGGUUUGUCGCGUCUGCCGUGAAAAUCCGGGGCUCAACCCCGGACUUGCGGUGGGUACGGGCAGACUAGAGUGUGGUAGGGGAGACUGGAAUUCCUGGUGUAGCGGUGAAAUGCGCAGAUAUCAGGAGGAACACCGAUGGCGAAGGCAGGUCUCUGGGCCACUACUGACGCUGAGAAGCGAAAGCGUGGGGAGCAAACAGG